AACCUCUCUUUAUAAUGCGCAUGAUAAUCAAGGUGGGUCAUUUCCAGCACUAAUCCAGGUUUUCUCACCCCCCCCCCCCCCAUAGAGGAUAUGUUGCUGCUUACGCUGAAUCGUAGCUGUCGCAUUUCCCUUUGGGUGAGGGGGUAAGCGGUUUCCAAAGAGGUAAAAAGGUGCCUGCCAAUAUGGUUAUAUAGCUGGUCCUGCUGAAGUUGUUCUUGCUGGGAAACCAGGACACAAUAAUGUUGGUUGGCUUGUCCAUAUUUUCUUCUCCUUCACUAGGAACUUGUAGGAAACCAUACCUUGAGUCCAUGCUGGUGCUGAACCAGAGUACAGAUCCUUUGUUUCCAUUUGUCUUGCUCUUGUUAUGGGUCUGGGAGCAGGCUUUUCAGGAAGCAGGUGUCUUGGGUAUUCAAGGAUUAUUUUCAUUCUGCCUGCCCUGUUUGUAACAUUCUUGUGGUACCUUGCCCUGGGUCAGCAGGAGCUCUGGAGUGUUGGCACUGUUGUAGCAGGAGAGGUGUGAUCGUGCAUAUGAAGGACGUCUGUUUUUAUAUUUCAUUCGACAGAGAAGAAAACUAUGCCAAGAAUGGGCCAUAAUGAGAAGAGAGCAGUUAGCCUGACCUGCUCAAAUGUGCUGUGCAGGACUCACUCCGGGUUCAGCAUUCCCAAUGGGGCCUGGAAACCUCUGCAGAGUCUCUUCUGUAAACUGCAAGCAGGAUGUGAGACUCCGAGAGUUCCUGGCCCUUGUGAUUAGAAACGAGCUGAUUGGGCUCUUGAGAGCAGUGACUAUUUUAAAUGACCUUUUAGACAGGCAUCUUACGAUUUUCUCCCUCCUGCCUCCUCCCCGUUUUUGGUCUGUCCCUCACCUCCUGACCAGUUCUGUACAGCUACAGGAGUUAACCAGCUUUCUUCCCCUAACUAAUCUUGGGCUGUCUCCCACCCCCCCGUGCAGUUCAGUUGUUUUUCUAUGCCACCCAAAUAGCAGCUGAUCCUUCUAGUGUGAGUGACCUCCCAAGGCAAUAGGUGGGCAGGCAUACCUGAACAGAAGACUGCUUAUCUGCUGCUUCAGGCAGAGACAUGACUCCACACCUGAAACAAAUCCACUUUCACAGCUGUGCUCAGAAGAAGUGAAGCCUGUCGUUUUGCGACUCUUUUGCUAAUGCUUACUUAAAUGCGGAGUGCUUGACUUAUGUGUUACGUUCUUUUCUCUCCCACUCCACCCCCCCCCCCGAUCAAAUAUCACAAGAUUGAGGUUCAUUUUUAAAUUGCUCCUCUCCCACCACCACAGCUAAGCUUUUAUCCAAUCAAAGAUGUCCAUGACUUAAAAAAAUCACCUGCAGGGUUGCAGCAUUAAUCACAGCUAGUGCAUGAGAAUCAAAGUGAAACUGGCUAGAAAUUAAAGUGAAAUAUGCUGGUCUCUUU